UACGUAGGGUGCAAGCGUUGUCCGGAAUUAUUGGGCGUAAAGAGCUUGUAGGCGGUUUGUCGCGUCUGCUGUGAAAUUUCGGGGCUCAACCCCGAACUUGCAGUGGGUACGGGCAGACUAGAGUGUGGUAGGGGAGACUGGAAUUCCUGGUGUAGCGGUGAAAUGCGCAGAUGUCAGGAGGAACACCGGUGGCGAAGGCGGGUCUCUGGGCCGAUACUGACGCUGAGGUGCGAAAGCGUGGGGAGCAAACAGG
rnacentral:rRNA from 1 species